rnacentral:rRNA from 1 species
ACGAACGCUGGCGGCGUGGAUAAGACAUGCAAGUCGAACGAGAGAAUUGCUAGCUUGCUAAUAAUUCUCUAGUGGCGCACGGGUGAGUAACACGUGAGUAACCUGCCCCCGAGAGCGGGAUAGCCCUGGGAAACUGGGAUUAAUACCGCAUAGUAUCGAAAGAUUAAAGCAGCAAUGCGCUUGGGGAUGGGCUCGCGGCCUAUUAGUUAGUUGGUGAGGUAACGGCUCACCAAGGCGAUGACGGGUAGCCGGUCUGAGAGGAUGUCCGGCCACACUGGAACUGAGACACGGUCCAGACACCUACGGGUGGCAGCAGUCGAGAAUCAUUCACAAUGGGGGAAACCCUGAUGGUGCGACGCCGCGUGGGGGAAUGAAGGUCUUCGGAUUGUAAACCCCUGUCAUGUGGGAGCAAAUUAAAAAGAUAGUACCACAAGAGGAAGAGACGGCUAACUCUGUGCCAGCAGCCGCGGUAAUACAGAGGUCUCAAGCGUUGUUCGGAAUCACUGGGCGUAAAGCGUGCGUAGGCUGUUUCGUAAGUCGUGUGUGAAAGGCGCGGGCUCAACCCGCGGACGGCACAUGAUACUGCGAGACUAGAGUAAUGGAGGGGGAACCGGAAUUCUCGGUGUAGCAGUGAAAUGCGUAGAUAUCGAGAGGAACACUCGUGGCGAAGGCGGGUUCCUGGACAUUAACUGACGCUGAGGCACGAAGGCCAGGGGAGCGAAAGGGAUUAGAUACCCCUGUAGUCCUGGCAGUAAACGGUGCACGCUUGGUGUGCGGGGAAUCGACCCCCUGCGUGCCGGAGCUAACGCGUUAAGCGUGCCGCCUGGGGAGUACGGUCGCAAGAUUAAAACUCAAAGAAAUUGACGGGGACCCGCACAAGCGGUGGAGUAUGUGGCUUAAUUCGAUGCAACGCGAAGAACCUUACCAAGUCUUGACAUCCUCUUGACCGGUCAGUAAUGUGACCUUUUCUUUGGAACAAGAGUGACAGGUGGUGCAUGGUUGUCGUCAGCUCGUGUCGUGAGAUGUUUGGUUAAGUCCAGCAACGAGCGCAACCCCUGUUGCCAGUUACCAGCACGUGAAGGUGGGGACUCUGGCGAGACUGCCCAGAUCAACUGGGAGGAAGGUGGGGACGACGUCAGGUCAGUAUGGCCCUUAUGCCCAGGGCUGCACACGUACUACAAUGCCCAGUACAGAGGGGGCCGAAGCCGCGAGGCGGAGGAAAUCCUAAAAACUGGGCCCAGUUCGGACUGUAGGCUGCAACCCGCCUACACGAAGCCGGAAUCGCUAGUAAUGGCGCAUCAGCUACGGCGCCGUGAAUACGUUCCCGGGUCUUGUACACACCGCCCGUCACAUCAUGGAAGCCGGUCGCACCCGAAGUAUCUGAAGCCAACCGCAAGGAGGCAGGGUCCUAAGGUGAGACUGGUAACUGGGAUG